CUCUCCUCCAGAUUCAGAUGACAAGUCUCGGCGGAGCAGGUGCAACGGGGUAUUUUCUCCUUCCUUCAGACAUCAUUCCCUCGUAGAAGUCCUCUAAGUCUACCAUCCCCCUCCAAUACUUAAUACAAGAUGGACUUUGCAACACCAAGCAAGACGCCUCCUUAUCUUCUUAGAGACACCGUGGAAAAGAAAAGAGGCAGCGUUGAAGAAAAUAUCUGCAAUCACUGCUUACUUCAUCAACCUGAUCUGCCACAAGAGGGCAGAGGCUUAUGUCACUCAGCUUCAUCUACUGUCACAGGAGAAUGUCAGGGAUCUUUAAUGGGAAAAUUUAUCAUGUUUAAAUACCAGGGUGAAAAAUGAAAUUCCAUUAGCUAAUUUUAAAUGGCUUUAGGCCAAAAAGCCGAAUGCAUCAACAGAACUCUGUCAUCUCUGCUGCAAUGACUACAACUGCCAUAGCUUGUUUAUAAGUUGUUAAUUACUGUGCAUUAAUUAAUUACAAAAAAAAUAUUACCCAUACCCACACGUAUAGAAAAAUAUGUGGAUGAAGCAAGGCUUUGCUAGUCUGAAAAAUGUGUCAAGCCAAGAUACUGAAACCUUUGUGUGAUUGCUUUUGUAAUAAAUGGGUUGAUUUUGAAGUGGGGAAGUGUUAGAAAAACAAAACCAUUAUGCCAGUCCAAGAAUAGUUUAAAUUCUCUGUAUUUGCUGAGCAAAAAUGAAUGAACCUGCUACUAGGGCAUAAAUAGGUUUCCUUUUAGGACAGACAGCAAAAGAAACAAUGGACACAUGAUGCUCUGGCUUGUUGUCACUAAUGCACACUGCUGGCUUGGUGCUGAAUGGGUAGCAGAGAAACACAAAUCAAUAAAGUGUUGUAUUCUGCACUGGUACAAUGGUUUUGAUGGAAAAGUGAGGAAAUUAAAUAAUCCAGCUCAGUUGUUACACUGGGGUAAUUUACAUUGCAUACAGUGACUUCCACUGGCUUAACAUUUCUUAUAAAUUUUAAAGUUGAUCGAAUUGCAACUUAACAAUUUGUGGGCUUAGAUUCUGACAAAUCCCACUCCUGUUUCCUACUGCUCCGAACUGCUUAUAAUUACAUCCAUACUUUAAAAAAAAGUCCAUAUUUUAUCAGCUGAUUCAACUGCUGAAAUGAAACCUUCAAUACAACUCAUUGAUGCAUUUGUCAUUAACAGACACUGCCUAAAAAAGUGCAGGAAUUUCUUUUUCUUGCUAGUAUUGCAUCUGUAAUGCAAGAACAGUUCUUGCCCUUGUCAGGUUUUUUUCUUGAGUACCAGCUUAAUAAAAAGCUACAAUACAGAAGCAAGAGAGGAAAGGAUAAUGCUCUUUUCAAUUUUUAAGGCAUAUUUUAACAAAAUGCAGACUUCUGCAUAGUGAGACUGCUACCAUGCUCUUUGUUCAUGUGUUCUGAAAGAUACUGUUAGACACAAUCAGUGGGAGGAGAUACAGCAAAAAUCCCUGCACAUUUUCAAGCUCACAAAGCUGAUGGUGAUGAUUGUAAUUAUAAAGGACAGCGUGAAGUAGGUAGUUACAAAAUUCUGAUAAGAUAACUUGGCUAGCACAGCGGUCUGUCAAAAAUUAAAACCUAUCUAUUACAGGGGUAAAAAAGCACAACAGCCUUUUCUCCACCCUCAAGAAUUUUUGGAAAAAAGUAAAACAAACAAACAAAAACAACUCACUGCAGAAAAAAACCCACAUUUCUUCUCUAGGUAAAGAGAUUUCAUAUUCCAGAAUCUGAAAUAUAUUUAUUUUAAAAGAUUUUAGAUUGCAAAAUCCCAUUUUUUAAAUUCCCAUUUAAAACUGCUGGGGACUUAUAAGAAAUGGGGAUUUUUUUUUUUUAUGACUGGAAAACUAAAUAUAGCAUGUUCUCUGGGAAUCCAGGUAACCCACAGUCCCUGGUUCUCCCACAGUCCCAGGGUUCUGCAAUUUCCCAUGGGCUACCACAGACACAAUGAGGUUGGGAAACUACACAGCAUUUACCUGGUUUCACUAAAAAACUGAAAACAAUUAGUACAUUUCCACUUUUUCCUGACAAACUAAUACUCUCUGAUAGAAAUGUUCUGCUAGAAUUUUUCCAACAGGCCCUGUCUCUGUUAUAAAUGAACUUGUGACAGCACUAACACCAUUAAUGCAGCAGGGAACAAAAUCAAAGGACUGAUUCCAGCUUAUUCUUCUAAUUUUAGACCAAACCAUGGACAACUGUUACUACUACAUCAAUUGUGAUUAUCAAGUUCAUCUGACAUACUUCAAGCCCCUGUGAGAAUAAAAGAAUACUAGUAUACAAAAUUUGGUUUUUUCUGGUUUUUGUUUGUUUAUUUGUUGGUUUUGGUUUUUUAACAAAUGUA